rnacentral:rRNA from 1 species
UACGUAGGGGGCUAGCGUUUGUCCGGAAUCAUUGGGCGUAAAGCGCACGUAGGCGGCUUUGUAAGUCGGAUGUGAAAUCCCUCGGCUUAACCAAGGAAGUGCAUCCGAAACUACAGAGCUUGAGUACUUAAGAGGAUCGCGGAAUUCCCGGUGUAGAGGUGAAAUUCGUAGAUAUCGGGAGGAACACCAGUGGCGAAGGCGGCGAUCUGGGAAGAUACUGACGCUGAGGUGCGAAAGCGUGGGGAGCAAACAGG